GGGGGGGUUUGGGCAUGGGGGGCGCCACCGACGCCGAACCCGUGCUUGGUCCUCCCAGCCGCCCCAAACCCCGCUGACGGUGUCGGACGACGGCGCCUUCGUCUGCUCCGUGAGCACGGCCCGCGGGCAGGUGCAGCAGGUGCUGCGGCUGCGCGUCCUCGGUCAGUGCGCAGCGGGCGGGCACCGGGCUCCUGGGGCUCCCGGGGCUCCCUGGGGAUCCCAGUCCCUCCCAGUUCCCCCCCCAGUUCCCUCCCAGUCCCUCCCAGUCCCCUCCCAGGCCCUCCCAGUUCCCCCCCAGUUCCCUCCCAGUCCCCUCCCAGUCCCUCCCAAUCCUCUCCCAGUUCCCUCCCAGUCCUUCUUAGUUCCCCCCCAAUUCCCCCCAGUCCCUCCCAGUCUCUCCCAAUCCCCUCCCAGUCCCUUCCAGUUCCCUCCCAGUCCCCUCCCAGUUCCCCCCAGUCCCUCCCAGUCCCCCCCAGUUCCCUCCCAGUUCCUCCCAGUUCCCUCCCAGUUCCCUCCCAGUCCCUCCCAGUUCCCCCCCAAUUCCCCCCAGUCCCUCCCAGUCUCCCACACUUUCUGCUCAGUCAGGCCUCAGAUAUCAGGCCCCGUAAUCAGCUCCACUGCUUUACUCUGUUUUAUUCCCCAUACGGGGACACCAGGGCUCUGCCCAACGGGGGUCACUGGGGAUCAUCCAGCCCGGAUCCUCCCAUGGGGGAUGGAGCUGGAGCAGUGCACCAAGCUCUUCCCUCUCUCCAAGCUCUUCCCUUACUCUCUUCCCUCACUCCAAGCUCUUUCCUCACUCAGGGCACUCACAGGGCUUCCCUUAGUGUUGCCUCCGUUGGUGCUGGGUCAAGGCUGAGUUUGUGGAGAAGCUCUUCCCACACUUCCCACACUCGUAGGGCCUCUCCCUGGUGUGGAUCACCUGGUGAUUUCUCAGGUCUGAGCGCCACCCAAAGCUCUUCCCACAUUCCAAGCACUCGUAGGGCCGUUCCCCAGUGUGGAUCACCUGGUGCUUGAUCAGACCAGACCCAUCCCUGAAGCCCUUCCCGCAUUUCCCACACUCGUAGGGCCUCUCUCCGGUGUGGAUGCGCCCGUGCACAGUGAGGUAGGAGUUUUUCCUGAAGCCCUUCCCGCAGUCGGGGCAGCGGAAGGGCCUCUCCUCUGUGUGAAUCUGCUCAUGGAUACACUGGAGCUCGUCUGAAACCUCUUC
rnacentral:lncRNA from 1 species